rnacentral:rRNA from 1 species
CUACGGGUGGCAGCAGUAGGGAAUCUUCCACAAUGGGCGAAAGCCUGAUGGAGCAAUACCGCGUGAAGGAUGAAGCGUUUCGGCGUGUAAACUUCUUUUCUGAGGGAAGAAUUCUGACGGUACCUUAGGAAUAAGCACCGACUAACUCCGUGCCAGCAGUCGCGGUAAGACGGAGGGUGCAAGCGUUGCCCGGAAUCACUGGGCGUAAAGCGUCUGUAGGUGGUGUAACAAGUUAGAGGUGAAAGCCUCCGGCCCAACCGGAGAACUGUCUCUAAAACUGUUACACUAGAGGAGAGGAGAGGUGAGUAGAAUUCCAUGUGUAGGGGUAAAAUCCGUUGAUCCAUGGAGGAAUACCAAAAGCGAAGGCAGCUCACUGGCCUCUUCCUGACACUCAGAGACGAAAGCGUGGGUAGCGAUUGGGAUUAGAUACCCGCGUAGUC